UACAGAGGGGGCAAGCGUUGUUCGGAAUUACUGGGCGUAAAGGGCGCGUAGGCGGCCUGCUAAGUCGAACGUGAAAUCCCUGGGCUCAACCCAGGAACUGCGUCCGAUACUGGUUGGCUUGAAUCCGGGAGAGGGACGUGGAAUUCCAGGUGUAGCGGUGAAAUGCGUAGAUAUCAGGAGGAACACCGGUGGCGAAGGCGGGUCUCUGGGCAACAACUGACGCUGGAGGAGCGAAAGCGUGGGGAGCGAACAGG
rnacentral:rRNA from 1 species